AAAAUACAAAAAUAAAUAAAAAUAAAAAAAAAACUAAACAAAAAUAAAAACAAACCAAGUCCAAGCGCUCUCUGCUGCAGCCCCCCUUCAGCCCGUGCUGGGACCCCCAUGCUUUUCCCUUGUGGGCUGCUCCAAAGAGAAACCCGCUCAGAGAUCUGUCAAUCAAUCUUCUUUCAGGGGUGAGUGAACAGGAUUGCCUUCAUCAUCACUCGGUGAGCAACAUCUGACCACAUUAAAGCCCACUAAAGGUUAAUUUAGAGGAACAUAAAUAUUAGUGCUGGUGUUGGUGGCAGUGGCAGCUUUGGGAAUUAAGCCAAAUGCAUUUUCCUCUAUCUGCUUGUUGAGAUGUCAGAGCUCAUCAGCACUCAAAACUUAAAUAUUAUUAUAUUUCUAAUAAAAUAAAACUUAAUGUUUAUCA
rnacentral:lncRNA from 1 species